rnacentral:misc_RNA from 1 species
AACCUAGCACACCUGCGGUGUGUACCUGCGGAAGGAUCAUUACCGAGUGAGGGCCCUCCGGGUCCAACCUCCCACCCGUGUUUAACGAACCUUGUUGCUUCGGCGGGCCCGCCUCACGGCCGCCGGGGGGCACCCCGCCCCCGGGCCCGCGCCCGCCGAAGACACCUGUGAACGCUGUCUGAAGUUGCAGUCUGAGACACUAGCUCAAUCAGUUAAAACUUUUAACAACGGAUCUCAGAU